GAAGGAUUUAUUGAGGGGUCAACGUCAUGAGUUGUGUCAAAGUUGUGCAAUCGGUUUUGGAAUGACGAGCAGUGGGAGAACCCGAGACUGUGUCCACCUGCAGAAUGGAGAAGGCACAUACCAAGUGGGACCACCUGCCUGUAAACAUGAGAAUGAAGCUAGUUCGUGAGAGAAUUACAGAUGCUGGAGAAUCACUUUGAUCAAGGAUCGUUUCUGAGGUUGAUAGCUAAAGCCAAUAUGUCAGCACAUGAGACAACUCCUGGACAUGCAGCUUCUACUGCAUUCUUUGCAUUGUCAAUGACAAAAAACGCAUGCAGC